rnacentral:rRNA from 1 species
ACGACUUCGACAACGGAUAUCUAGGCUCUCGCAUCGAUGAAGAACGCA